rnacentral:rRNA from 1 species
AUUGAACGCUGGCGGCAUGCUUUACACAUGCGAGUCGAACGGCAGCGCGGGCUUCGGCCUGGCGGCGAGUGGCGAACGGGUGAGUAAUGCAUCGGAACGUGCCCAGUAGUGGGGGAUAGCCCGGCGAAAGCCGGAUUAAUACCGCAUACGACCUGAGGGUGAAAGCGGGGGACCGAAAGGCCUCGCGCUAUUGGAGCGGCCGAUGUCGGAUUAGCUAGUUGGUGGGGUAAAGGCUUACCAAGGCGACGAUCCGUAGCUGGUCUGAGAGGACGACCAGCCACACUGGGACUGAGACAAGGCCCAGACUCCUACGGGAGGCAGCAGUGGGGAAUUUUGGACAAUGGGGGCAACCCUGAUCCAGCCAUGCCGCGUGCGGGAAGAAGGCCUUCGGGUUGUAAACCGCUUUUGUUCGGGAAGAAAUCCUCUGGGCUAAUACCCCGGGGGGAUGACGGUACCGGAAGAAUAAGCACCGGCUAACUACGUG